rnacentral:rRNA from 1 species
CGGACGGGUGAGUAAUGCUUGGGAAUCUAGCUUAUGGAGGGGGAUAACUACGGGAAACUGUGGCUAAUACCGCGUAAUAUCGAAAGAUUAAAGUGUGGGACCUUCGGGCCACGUGCCAUAGGAUGAGCCCAAGUGGGAUUAGGUAGUUGGUGAGGUAAAGGCUCACCAAGCCGACGAUCUCUAGCUGGUCUGAGAGGAUGACCAGCCACACUGGGACUGAGACACGGCCCAG